rnacentral:rRNA from 1 species
GACGAACGCUGGCGGCGUGCCUAAUACAUGCAAGUCGAACGCAGUGGGGACGGGUGAGUAACACGUGGGUAACCUCCCAUCAGAGGGGAUAACACUUGGAAACAGGUGCUAAACCGAUACUGAUGGAUGGACCCGCGGUGCAUUAGCUAGUUGGUGAGGUAACGGCUAACAAAGGACACGGUGCAUAGCCGACCUCAGAGGGUGAUCGGCCACACUGGGACUGAGACACGACCCAGACUCCGACGGGAGGCAGCAGUAGGGAAUCUUCGGCAAUGGACGAAAGUCUGACCGAGCAACGCCGCGGGAGUGAAGAAGUUUUGCGGAUCGUAAAACUCUGUUGUUAGAGAGGCGGUGUCUAACCAGAAAGAGGCGGCUAACUACGUGCAAGCAGCCGCGGUAAUAC